ensembl:snoRNA SNORA70 Small nucleolar RNA SNORA70
UUGCAGUCGAUUAAGCUGACUGUGCUCUUUUCCCCGUCGGGGCCCUGGGUGCAAUUGCUGCAAAUAGCAGCCUCCUCGGUAGUGUAUGCAGCCUGUUGCCUGUAUAGGUUGCCCUAAGGGACCUUGGAGACACCC